GCGGGAGUAGCUCAGUGGUUAGAGCGCCGCCCUGUCACGGCGGAGGCCGCGGGUUCAAGUCCCGUCUUCCGCGCCA
rnacentral:tRNA from 1 species